rnacentral:rRNA from 1 species
GAUGAACGCUGGCGGCGUGCCUAAUACAUGCAAGUCGAGCGAACAGACGAGGAGCUUGCUCCUCUGACGUUAGCGGCGGACGGGUGAGUAACACGUGGAUAACCUACCUAUAAGACUGGGAUAACUUCGGGAAACCGGAGCUAAUACCGGAUAACAUGUUGAACCGCAUGGUUCAACAGUGAAAGACGGUCUUGCUGUCACUUAUAGAUGGAUCCGCGCCGCAUUAGCUAGUUGGUAAGGUAACGGCUUACCAAGGCAACGAUGCGUAGCCGACCUGAGAGGGUGAUUGGCCACACUGGAACUGAGACACGGUCCAGACUCCUACGGGAGGCAGCAGUAGGGAAUCUUCCGCAAUGGGCGAAAGCCUGACGGAGCAACGCCGCGUGAGUGAUGAAGGUCUUCGGAUCGUAAAACUCUGUUAUUAGGGAAGAACAAAUGUGUAAGUAACUAUGCACGUCUUGACGGUACCUAAUCAGAAAGCCACGGCUAACUACGUG